GCGCCCUACCACGCUGUGCGCGCAGCCGGCAGAGGGCCGAGCUCCGGGAUAAGAGGGCUGGCAGACGAUAAGAGCAUGCGGAGGAGGUACCCGCGAGCUUUCUCUCUAGAGAUCUCACCUGAGCCCUGGGACUGGCGUUAUCCUGUGAAAAGCGUCUCAGUGACCAGCAGCUAUUUUCCGUACCAUCCUUGCAGCUCUCCUGCCUCCAGCAAGAGCUGCCCUGUCUGUGGCCACUUCAAAUCUUCUGAUGGGCUGCGCUCAGAUCUUGAGAAAUGGCCUCCCUGGGGUAAAGCCAGUGCAAGAAGAAGGGAUCAUGAAUCAGAAGAAAUGCAGAGACUCUUUCCUGUAUUUAAUUAGGAUAAAGCUAUCUGAAAUGAUGCCUUUUAUCUGGGAUGUGGAGAAAGGCUACUGCAAGAAAACUCAUAGCAGUCAACUGUAACAAAUGGAAGACUUGAUUUCAAUUGCAACACAUUCUUGGGAUUCAUGGU
rnacentral:lncRNA from 1 species